CCGAACCGUCAAACACGGGUUGUCGCUGGCCCUCAAAAGGGGCACGUGCACGCUCUGUUUACACAUCCAUCCACACCUGUGCACCCUCUGUAGUUCUGUGGUUUGGGAGACCCCAUCUUCCUUCCGUAGCUCUACGUCUUUACACACACGCUGUAGUGAAGUUUUGUGGAAUGUUUUUCUGCGUUUAACGCGAUACAAUA
rnacentral:misc_RNA from 1 species